rnacentral:rRNA from 1 species
AUGGUGGCUGUGGCGAAAGAGCAAGUGGACACAAUUUACAAAGAGGCAGACAUGUAUUCGUUGAACCCAAUCGAGUUACAGAUGCGAGGGAUAUACACACAAAAUCUGUUCUCCAAGUUCCAGGUAGAGAUGAAGCUAAAGACUGCUUAUGGAUGCAACACUUUGCAAGAUGGAACCUUCAAGAUGUGGUCGCUCCGAGGCAUACUACCAAAGUAUGGGGAUAGGGACUACCAUGUGCAGGCGAACAAGGAUGAAGGGGUAUACUCAUGCACUUGCUGCAAGUUUGAUCGCGAUGGGCUAUUGUGCACACACAUACUACGAGUAAUGGAACAG